rnacentral:rRNA from 1 species
GACGAACGCUGGCGGCGUGCUUAACACAUGCAAGUCGAACGAGAUCCCGACCGAGCGAAUCUUCGGAAGAGCGAGGGAGGGUGAAAGUGGCGAACGGGCGAGUAACGCGUGGGCAAUCUGCCCUUCACAGGGGGAUAACACCGGGAAACCGGUGCUAAUACCGCAUAAACCGGCAGCACCGCAUGGUGCAACCGGCAAAGGAGUAAAAUCCGGUGAAGGAUGGGCCCGCGUCCAAUUAGCUAGUUGGUGAGGUAACGGCUCACCAAGGCGACGAUGGGUAGCCGGCCUGAGAGGGUGACCGGCCACACUGGGACUGAGACACGGCCCAGACUCCUACGGGAGGCAGCAGUCGGGAAUUUUCGGCAAUGGGGGGAACCCUGACCGAGCAACGCCGCGUGAGGGAAGAAGGUCUUCGGAUCGUAAACCUUUGUCAUCAGGGACGAUCAUGACGGUACCUGAGGAGGAAGCCACGGCUAACUACGUGCCAGCAGCCGCGUAAACAUACUCGUA